CGGCGGACGGGUGAGUAAUGCCUAGGAAUCUGCCUGGUAGUGGGGGAUAACGUCCGGAAACGGACGCUAAUACCGCAUACGUCCUACGGGAGAAAGCAGGGGACCUUCGGGCCUUGCGCUAUCAGAUGAGCCUAGGUCGGAUUAGCUAGUUGGUGGGGUAAUGGCUCACCAAGGCGACGAUCCGUAACUGGUCUGAGAGGAUGAUCAGUCACACUGGAACUGAAACACGGUCCAGACUCCUACGGGAGGCAGCAGUGGGGAAUAUUGGACAAUGGGCGAAAGCCUGAUCCAGCCAUGCCGCGUGUGUGAAGAAGGUCUUCGGAUUGUAAAGCACUUUAAGUUGGGAGGAAGGGCAGUAAAUUAAUACUUUGCUGUUUUGACGUUACCGACUGAAUAAGCACCGGCUAACUCUGUGCCAGCAGCCGCGGUAAUAAAGAGGGUGCAGCGUUAAUCGGAAUUACUGGGCGUAAAGCGCG
rnacentral:rRNA from 1 species